GAGUGGCCACUCAUGACUGAAUGUGCCUGAUCUCAUCUGAUCUUAGUAGCUGAACAGCCUGGAACCCAGCUUGUUCUUGGGUGGACACCCUGGAAACCCAGGCGUCAAACACA
rnacentral:rRNA from 1 species